rnacentral:rRNA from 1 species
CAGUCGCCGCGGGAAUACGUAGGGUGCGAGCGUUAAUCGGAAUUACUGGGCGUAAAGCGUGCGCAGGCGGUUCGUUAAGACAGAUGUGAAAUCCCCGGGCUUAACCUGGGAACUGCAUUUGUGACUGGCGAGCUAGAGUAUGGCAGAGGGGGGUAGAAUUCCACGUGUAGCAGUGAAAUGCGUAGAGAUGUGGAGGAAUACCGAUGGCGAAGGCAGCCCCCUGGGCCAAUACUGACGCUCAUGCACGAAAGCGUGGGGAGCAAACAGGAUUAGAUACCCGUGUAGUCCCUGUCUCUUAUAC